AUUGAACGCUGGCGGCAUGCUUUACACAUGCAAGUCGAACGGCAGCGCGGGCUUCGGCCUGGCGGCGAGUGGCGAACGGGUGAGUAAUAUAUCGGAACGUACCCAGGGGUGGGGGAUAACGUAGCGAAAGUUACGCUAAUACCGCAUACGCUCUAUGGAGGAAAGCAGGGGAUCGCAAGACCUUGCGCGCUUGGAGCGGCCGAUAUCUGAUUAGCUAGUUGGUGGGGUAAAGGCUCACCAAGGCAACGAUCAGUAGCUGGUCUGAGAGGACGACCAGCCACACUGGGACUGAGACACGGCCCAGACUCCUACGGGAGGCAGCAGUGGGGAAUUUUGGACAAUGGGGGCAACCCUGAUCCAGCAAUGCCGCGUGAGUGAAGAAGGCCUUCGGGUUGUAAAGCUCUUUUGUCAGGGAAGAAACGGUUUUGGCUAAUAUCCAGAGCUAAUGACGGUACCUGAAGAAUAAGCACCGGCUAACUACGUGCCAGCCGCCGCUGUAAUAC
rnacentral:rRNA from 1 species